UGAGUACGAGAUGCUACGGCAUCGAAGCAGUCUAUGUCAUACUUCCAAGAAAAGCUUGCAAUGUCAUAAACAAAUAAUGCCUGUACCAUAACCGACACAGGUGGGUAGGUAGAGUAUACUAAGGGGCGCGAGAUAACUCUCUCUAAGGAACUCGGCAAAAUGACUCCGUAACUUCGGGAGAAGGAGUGCCUUAUUUUUAUAAGGUUGCAAUAACAAGAUCCAAGCAACUGUUUACCAAAAACACAGGUCUCCGCUAAGUCGUAAGACGAUGUAUGGGGGCUGACGCCUGCCCAGUGCCAGAAGGUUAAAGAAGUUGGUUAGCAUUAGCGAAGCUGAUAACUGAAGCCCUGGUGAACGGCGGCCGUAACUAUAACGGUCCUAAGGUAGCGAAAUUCCUUGUCGGGUAAGUUCCGACCCGCACGAAAGGCGUAAUGAUUUGGAUACUGUCUCGGAGGGGGGCUCGGUGAAAUAGACUUGUCUGUGAAGAUGCGGACUACCUGCACCUGGACAGAAAGACCCUAUGAAGCUUUACUGUAACUUGAGAUUGAAAUUGGACUUUAUCUGCGCAGUAUAGGUGGGAGACGUUGAAAAUAUUCUUGCGGGAAUAUUGGAGUCAUCAGUGAGAUACCACUCUUAUAAUGUUAGAUUUCUAACUUUGUAUCAUUAUCUGGUCAAAGAACAGUUUCAGGCGGGCAGUUUGACUGGGGCGGUCGCCUCCCAAACGGUAACGGAGGCGCACAAAGGUUUCCUCUGAACGUGUAGAAAUCGUAUCUAGAGUGUAAAGGCGUAAGGAAGCUUGACUGUGAGACCUACAAGUCGAGCAGGGACGAAAGUCGGUCUUAGUGAUCUGACGGUGCUGAGUGGAAAGGCCGUCACUCAACGGAUAAAAGUUACUCUAGGAUAACAGGCUGAUCUCCCCCAAGAGUUCACAUCGACGGGGAGGUUUGGCUCCUCGAUGUCGGCUCAUCGCAUCCUGGGGCGGUAGUACGUCCCAAGGGUUGGGCUGUUCGCCCAUGAAAGCGGUACGCGAGCUGGGUUCAGAACGUCGUGAGACAGUUCGGUCCAUAUCCGGUGUAGGCGUUAGAAUAUUGAGAGGAGCCUUCUUUAGUACGAGAGGACCGAGAAGGACAUACCUCUGGUGUACCAGUUAUCGUGCCAACGGUAAACGCUGGGUAGCCAUGUAUGGAGAGGAUAACCGCUGAAAGCAUCUAAGUGGGAAGCCCACCUCAAGAUAAG
rnacentral:rRNA from 1 species